UAUAACUCUAAUUAUUUGGUGUUGCUCGAUGACUUAGAGCUAGGGAAAUCUGUCCAGAUCUCGCCGAUAGAGGGUGGGAGAGAAGGAUAGCAAGGGGCAUCGCGAUCCCCACAAGACAAAAAUGGAAAAGCCCGGAGAAGUCAACCCAAGUUGAAACGAUUCGCUCGGCAAUGCACAUUGCACACGCACUGGAUUGGAUUUUCGAUUUUUUAAGUUUUUACCCAAACUCGAACCCAGUAAGAUGUUGGGUACUUGAGUCUGAUCGUAGGGAUCCAAGUAUACUAUUGAACUCAAUUUCUAGGUUACUGGGCUACUCUUCGGAUCCAAACCUGAUAACACUCCCUUGUUUACUCUUUGCGCGCUUGGGGUGGACGCAGAGCUGGUACCCCUCUCUGCGGCCAUGGCGGCGGCGGUGGUAAUGAAGAGGGCGGUGGCGGACAAACUGGGCUUCUUCCACCAAUCCUUUGCUCUUCUCAGAAGCCUGAGCACUUCCGUCGCUUCUCCGGCUUCGAGUUCGUCCGGCGCCAGCGAGUCGAAGCCGAGGCGGAGGAAGAAGAAGAACCUGUUCGACGUGAUACAGUUCCUCCCCGAAUGGGGGAUCGGCUACAAGGUGGCGAAGAUCCAUUGGAGAGACGUCUCCUACGAGCUCUCCAAGAUCAAUCUCUACAAGGACGGGCGACACGGCAAGGCAUGGGGGAUUAGAUACAAGGCUGGUUUACCAGCAUCAGGUGCUCCUGUGAAAAUGAGUGGCAUAAACAAGCGUGGGUGGAAGUAUUUUCCAGAGUCUGAAAAAAAAAUACAAAAUUCUUCCAAGGUGGUGGAGCAGAGCUUGGCUUAGUUUUGAGGCUCUGCAGUGCAUCUUGUCUAUUCCUCUGUCCUUGCUGUUCAAUGUCAAAUUCUAAGGCUUUACUGGGUGGCCUUGUGCAUGAUGUUUUCUUUUAAUUGAUGAGCCCGCCUAGUUGGACUGUAAUGGACUUGUGUAUUCCCCUGUUAGAGGAGAAGACAGAGAGGCCUAACAAAGGGCCCGAUCAUUCAAAGACUAAGGAAGAGGCAUUGGAUUGAAGGGCGGGCCAGAGGAGCACCACCGCUAAACCAGAAUGGACGACAAAGGCAGAGCAUCCAGUUUGUUGAAAGGUAUGGCUGCAAAAGCCUUAAUUGUUAUGUGGUUUCAGCUGAUUACGAGCACAGCAAGCACUAAUUCUAACUUAGUUCACUUGGACAACCUUUAAGAACUAGACUUUGCAGUUGGUAUUUUGGUCAAUGUGUGUAAUGCAACAUUGUGGUGAAAGGAUCAUGGUCUUCUUCAGGUUCAGUGGUAUGUAGCAUGACAGUACGUUUACGGAUACCCAGAUCUUGAAAUUGUAAAUGUGCCAAAUUUUGCUCCUUCCCUCUAACAUAGUACUAGAUUGACUAAGUCAAUUGAGAUGGUUUUGGCUAAGCUCAUGAUUGAUUGAUUAAAGCAAUCCCUUUGAGGAACAUAUUGUAUAUCCAGAUUAUGUAAAUGGAUGACAUGAAAAUAUUCUGUUCCAGUA